GUGCUAUACAUGCAGUCGAGCGAAUGGAUUGGAGCUUGCUCUUAUGUGUUUACGCGCGCGGACGGUGUGAUGUCACACUGUGGUGUCACCGUGCUCGCUAUAGAGCAUCGUGGGUAUACAUCUCCGGGACACCGGGCGCUAAUACCGAGUAGUCAAUCAUUUUGAACCGCAGUGGUCUCAAAAUUGAAAGGCGCGUCUCUCGCGUCUGUCUCUUAUGGAUGGACCCGCGUCGCAUUAUCUAGUUUGGUGAUGUAGCGCGCUCACCAGGGCAACGAUGCGUACCCGACCUGAGAGGGUGAUCGGCCACACUGGGACUGACACACGGCCCACACUCCUACGGGAGGCAGCAGUAGGGUAUCUUCCGCAGUGGACGAAUGUCUGACAGAGCCACGCCGCGUGAGUGAUGAAUGC
rnacentral:rRNA from 1 species